rnacentral:rRNA from 1 species
UUCCCUACCCCGCUGGAAUUUAAGCAUAUCAAUAAGCGGAGGAAAAGAAACCAACAGGGAUUGCCUUAGUAGCGGCGAGUGAAGCGGCAAAAGCUCAAAUUUGAAAUCUGGCUCUUUCAGAGUCCGAGUUGUAAUUUGAAGAAGGUAUCUUUGGGUCUGGCUCUUGUCUAUGUUUCUUGGAACAGAACGUCACAGAGGGUGAGAAUCCCGUGCGAUGAGAUGAUCCAGGCCUAUGUAAAGUUCCUUCGAAGAGUCGAGUUGUUUGGGAAUGCAGCUCUAAGUGGGUGGUAAAUUCCAUCUAAAGCUAAAUAUUGGCGAGAGACCGAUAGCGAACAAGUACAGUGAUGGAAAGAUGAAAAGAACUUUGAAAAGAGAGUGAAAAAGUACGUGAAAUUGUUGAAAGGGAAGGGCUUGAGAUCAGACUUGGUAUUUUGUAUGUUACUUCUUCGGGGGUGGCCUCUACAGUUUAUCGGGCCAGCAUCAGUUUGGGCGGUAGGAGAAUUGCGUUGGAAUGUGGCACGGCUUCGGUUGUGUGUUAUAGCCUUCGUCGAUACUGCCAGCCUAGACUGAGGACUGCGGUUUAUACCUACGAUGUGGGUAUCG